rnacentral:lncRNA from 10 species
GGCAGAGUGGACUGAAGGAGGCAGAGAUGGAACAUCUGUAUACUAGUCAAGAGGCUGCUAAACUGAUUUCACUCUUGCCUCCUCUAGACUCAACAACUCAAAUUCUCCUAACUGCUUUCAGAGAUCCAUUCACUGAGUCUUCUCAUUAUUUCCGUUUUUCUUCCCUGAUCCCGCUCCAAGUCCCCUCUGCCUUAUGUCAUUUAGCUGAAUCGGAAGACCAGGUUU